rnacentral:rRNA from 1 species
CCAUGCAUGUGCCAGUUCAUACUAUUCAUAGUGAAACUGCGGAAGGCUCAGUAAAUCAGUUAUAAUCUAUUCGAAAUUUCAACCCAUUGGAUAACCGUGGGAAAUCUAGAGCUAAUACAUGUCCACCGUGACGGCUCCAUUCACUUGGGGUCGUUGCAGGCAUUUAUUCACAYAACAACCAAAUGCAAUGGUGACACCACUCCACAAGGGUGGCGCGCACCAUUGUAAGGUGAUUCUAGAUAACUUUGCCGAUCGCAUCAAUUACACAUUGGCGACGUUUCGACUGAAUUUCUGCCCUAUCAACUUGUUGGUAAGGUAGAGGCUUACCAAGGUUACUACGGGUAACGGGGGAUCAGGGUUCGAUUCCGGAGAGGGAGCCUCAGAAACGGCUACCACAUCCAAGGAAGGCAGCAGGCGCGAAAAUUACCCAAUCCAGACCAUGGGAGGUGGUGACCAGAAGUACUAGGUGGUGUAUUUUAUACACCCACUUGGAAUGAGCGCGUACCAAAUACAUCGUCGAGUAACUACUGGAGGGCAAGUCUGGUGCCAGCAGCCGCGGUAAUUCCAGCUCCAGUAGCGUGUCGUAAAGUUGUUGCGUUUAAAACGCUCGUAGUUGGAUCAAAUAGUGCAUACUCGGUUCACUGGCCGUCUGCAUUCGAUCGUUACUCUGCCAUACCAAAAUGUGGUGGGGUUUUGAGUUGGCUCGUUCGGCCUGGCGCCAGUAUGCACUUGUUACGUGUAAGGAUGGUGGCUGAUCUUUAGUGCAUCGGCCAUUAUGUCUUGCAGGGUGUGCCUUGAAUAAAUCAGAGUGCUCAAAGCAGGUUUACGCCUGAAUGAUACAGCAUGGAACGAACAAUCGUGUACGUACACGUUGGACGGUUGUAGUGACCGAUCUGGCGCUGUACUUCACCAACCACCUGUAUGGAUGUUGGUUUCUCGUGCAGGGGUGAUGAUUAAAACGAGCGGUUGGGGGCAUUGGUAUUUGGCCGCGAGAGGUGAAAUUCUUAGACCGGCCAAGGACUAACAAAAGCGAAGGCAUUUGCCAAGACCGUCUCGAUUGAUCAAGAACGAUAGGGAAAGGUUCGACGGAGAUUAGAGACCUCCUUAGUUUUCCCUGUAAACUAUGCCGACCCGGGAUCAGUUUUAUGCUAGUAACUACGCUUAAGGUUGGUCCCCCUGGGAAACCUAAAGUUUUUGGGUUACGGGGGGAGUAUGGUCGCAAGGCUGAAACUUAAAGGAAUUGACGGAAGGGCACCACCAGGGGUGGAGCCUGCGGCUUAAUUUGACUCAACACGGGAAAACUUACCAGGUCAGGACGUCAAAAAGAUAGACAGACUAUAGAUCUUUCUUGAUAUGAUGUGAAGUGGUGCAUGGCCGUUCUUAGUUCGUGAAGUGAUUUGUCGGGUCAAUUCCGGUAACGAACGAGACCCAGUCCUCCGUUUACGAUACUGCGUACACGCUCCCUGGGCGUGUAAUUGUGGGAAAUGUCACAGUGGACUGCAAUAAAACGCAGUACUGCUCUAUGCGGCAACGUGUGGAGCUGCACGGAGGGACGACUGACUAUACUCCAAAAUCAGAGGAAGUUGGGCCAUAACAGGUCUGUGAUGCCCUUAGACGUUCUGGGCUGCACGCGCGCUACAAUGAUAACGGCAAUGAGUAAUCUUGUCCGAAAGGACUAGGCAAUCUGUGAAUCGUUAUCGUGAUGGGGAUUGUUCGUUGUAAAUCGGACAUGAAAUAGGAAUCCCUUGUACGUGCACUUCAUCUAAAGUGCGUGGAAUGAGUCCCUGCCCUUUGUACACACCGCCCGUCCGUACUACCGAGUGAAUCGUGUCAU